rnacentral:rRNA from 1 species
GACGAACGCUGGCGGCGUGCCUAAUACAUGCAAGUAGAACGCUGAAGGAGGAGCUUGCUUCUCUGGAUGAGUUGCGAACGGGUGAGUAACGCGUAGGUAACCUGCCUGGUAGCGGGGGAUAACUAUUGGAAACGAUAGCUAAUACCGCAUAAGAGUAGAUGUCGCAUGACAUUUGCUUAAAAGGUGCAAUUGCAUCACUACCAGAUGGACCUGCGUUGUAUUAGCUAGUUGGUGAGGUAACGGCUCACCAAGGCAACGAUACAUAGCCGACCUGAGAGGGUGAUCGGCCACACUGGGACUGAGACACGGCCCAGACUCCUACGGGAGGCAGCAGUAGGGAAUCUUCGGCAAUGGACGGAAGUCUGACCGAGCAACGCCGCGUGAGUGAAGAAGGUUUUCGGAUCGUAAAGCUCUGUUGUAAGAGAAGAACGAGUGUGAGAGUGGAAAGUUCACACUGUGACGGUAUCUUACCAGAAAGGGGCGGCUAACUACGUG